UCUCAAAAAUAGGAUUUUGAUGAUGGACAAAAGAUGACAAACAUCAUCUUCCUCUUUCAAACCACAAAUUUUCUGAAAGUUGCUCUGUUUUUUGACAGCUACUUUCAAGCUUUUAAGCUUCGAUUUCACCCAAUCUAGCCCAAAGCCACUCAAAUUUCUUCUACAAAACUCAUUAACUACCUCUAAAUUAAAUUACCCCAAUAAGUUAGAGUUCACAAAUUACCUUGGAUAGCUUAAAAUUUCAAUUGAAUCUCGACUACCCUAUUUCUGCGAAAUUUUGCACAACCCAUUGUUUUCCUCAAAAUUGAUGGCCUUCCCAAAUUCGUUCUCCUUAAGCAGUCCUUGAAGUUCUUCCUUACUCGAUUCUUUUCAACAUUCAUGAAGCAAAUAUCCCAAUUGAUCAACUGGUUUGAGAGAAAUUCUUCAAAUUCUUUACAGGGGAGAGAGAUUUAAAAGAGAAAAUCAAGACCAAAAUAGAUGGAAGGAAAAGAAGAGGACGUAGACGCCGAUGGAGCGGAGCUCACAAGAAAACUAAAACCCUGUAAUUUAAGAGCCUUGUCCCGAUGAAAGAUUCAUUUUGCAGUUUCUGUAAAAGAUUUGUCUUCAAUGAUUGGUGCAUCAUAACUGCUACUCGAACAAGCUCCCGUCCUCCAUCAUUUUACGGAAUUGAUGAGAAGUGUUCUUUGGCUUUUUGUUUCGGUUUAUUGCAGCCGAUAUCAAUGAUAGGUGUAUUCUGUUAGUGAAGAGACUGCACGUGGGAUCUUGUGGUCUAAAACUUACCACAAGGAGAAGAGUAGGCAAAACACCUUAAUCUUGGUGUUGCUAAGUAUGAAGAUCAAGACAACUGCUUAUUUUGUCAACUCCCUAUGAUGGCAUUUUGGUUGCUAAUUGCUUCCAUGCUCAGCAUCUUAGUCAUUUCUUUCGAUUUGCACCAGAAAAAGAAUGAUAUUGCUUCAUUGACCAAUCUCCGUGGGACAGGGACCGGAAGUUGUUAUCUAUAUCAAACUCUUCUUUGGAGUUUUUUCAUCCGUUCAAAUUUGGAGGAGUGAUUUAAGAUGGCUACACGUUUCAGAAUAGCCAAAGCUGACUGAUUUUUCGGUCAAGUAACCAGCUUGGCCAUAUUGCUAAUGCAAACAAGAUUGUCAAAGAGAAACUCACGCCAACGCAGUUGGCCAUGUUCAAGAGAACAGUUUUUGGGUGAUUUGUUGAUGUUGAUAUGGUGUUUAACAGCUCAAUUGUCCAUCAUAUGUUACUUAGAGAAGUGAAGGGGACAAAAUCAGACUCAAUGUCAUUCUCUGUCUGUGGGAAGGUUGACACCUUUUCGAAGGAUGACUUUUUGGUGAUGACUGAUUUGUAGCAAUCCCCAUCACGAGUUGAUUGGAACCAGCAGUCCUCAUAUGAACUUGCUAUCAAGUAUUUUGGUAAUCGAGUGACGAAGGACACUUUACACCUUCGUGAACUUGAAGAAAAAUACAGGGACUUAGAGUUUGAAAAUGAUGAUGAUGCUGUGAAGAUUAGCCUAGUUUACUAUACUGAGGUCACAAUGAUGGGGAAAAUAAACAGAAAAAUGCCGUCAACCUCAAACGUUUCAAGGACGUUCAAAACUUGGAGUACUAGUCUUGAUUGGGGUACCAUUAUUUGGGAGAGGACAUUGGAUGCCCUAAAGACUUCCUUGAAUGAUAAGAGCAGUCUAUACAAGACGAGGGUCAAAGCAAAUAAAAACUACGUUGUGAAGUACUCCUUACGUGGAUUUCCACAAGCGUUCCAGGUAUGGACGUACGAGAUCCUAGCUUUAUCGAUAGCUGAGAACAUUGCGGAGCGAAGGAGCAAGGUGGCUUUGCCCUGCAUAUUACGAUGGUCAUGCUCCCACUCAGUGUCCUUCAAAGUACUUGAGAGAGAGAUAUUUGAGUCUAACAAUAUAAAGGUUAAAGAGGGCAUUGUGAUGUCAGAUGUUGAAAGAGAGUUUCGGGAUACCCCAGUGGAACGACGACCUAUAUUUAAGCUAGGUACGGAUGAUGAUAGUUCUGAAAGUGGAAAUAGUUCGACGAGUGAGGGGGUAGUCCCGAGAGUGAAAGUGGCAGUGAUGACCAUCGUGGAGAUGACAAUGAUGAGGUUGUCAGGAUGGAGGGAGGGGAUGAACCCGAGCAUUCUGAGCACGAGGAUGCUAAAUAUGGAAGGGUGGAAGGAGGGAUAUACACAUGUAGUGAUGAUAUGUUCCAUGAUAUGACGGGGGAUGUACGCAAGGAGGACGAGUUGAACCAAGUUGAUGUCUUUCUUGCAGACUCUGGUAUAGAGCGACCUGUGGAUGAGGAGUGUCCUGAGCGUGCUGCCCGCCACAGAGAGGGAGCCAAUGUCGAUGAGUCUAUUUAUUCAUACCUGCGGUCCAAUGACAGCUCACUAUCGAGGUUGGAUGGUCGUAUAUCGGGUUUAGAUAGUCGUGUAUCUAGUAUGGAGGAAAACAUGACUGACAUGAAAGGGCAAUUGUCGGCCAUCCUGUCAUUGUUGCAGUCUAUGUAUAAGGGUUCUACGGUGAAUGAGGAGACGACCAGAUCACCCAUCCCAUAUCGGGAUCCCGAUAUGACUGCGACUGCCUCUGACACUCCUAUCCCCAUCCCCCUUCUAUAGCCCGAUACCACCACUUUACCUACUCCCACCCCCCUGUACAGCCCGUUACCACCACUGCCACGACAUCACCGAUUGACGUCGAACCUAUACUGGCUGACGUCCCACAAACAGAGUCUGACAUGUCUGUCUUACUUACCAUGCCACAUACAGAGGCUAACAUGUCUGGCAUCCCAGAGGCAGACACUUAUGGGAUUGUUACGACCAUAGAAGGAGUUCCACUGAUGAGAAUCUCGAAGAAUUAAUCGUAAGAGAAAACCGGUUGAUAAAUAUAUACCCCCAGCCCAAGUAAAGAAGAAAAGUGUGGCUAAACAUCCUUUCCCAGAUGUAGCUACGUCAAUAUCCAGAUCGAUCGUCACAUAUAACGUAGCACAUGAUGUUCCACACAAUAUCCUGACAGAAAUGAUGGGCUGGAUCUCAGACGACAAUACAGACAAUGAGGUUCGAGAGAACUCCAUCAAACCACUCGCCAAGCAAUUCUCCAAGGAAUUGAUUACCCCGAAUUCGUUGGUCGAGUGCGAUAUAAAUUUUAUACCCGUCCCGACAUGUGCAUGCACAAGUUCACCAUCUUGCCAAUUGGUUUAACGAGUCACCUUAAUGCUCGUGGCGGGGUAUUUAAAUGAAUAAAGAAUAAGUCACUUCUGGAGGCUGCCCUAGCUUAGGAAGAUGAAGACACGUAUAAGGACUACGUCACCGGUAAAUUCGAUGUCAAAUGGGCAGAUGUGGAUUUCGUUUAUACGAAGAUGAAUAACAGUUCUGGAUGAUCCUUGCAAUGGACAUUAACAGAGGCCACAUAUUUUUGUUCGAUUCACUUCCGUCAUACACACCAAUGACAAAGCUGGUGAAUUGGCUAGAGCCAUUGACGGUCAUAGUACCAUCCUUACUUCACUAUUGUGACAUGGAUCGAUCGAAGCCAGACCUAUCCACAGCCCGUUGAAUCUCGCGACCUAUAAACGUCGACAUAUAACACGGGUCGCUUGAUUGUGGCAUCUUCGCAAUAAAACUACUGGAACACUUGGUGACUGGUGCUGAUCCAUUUGUAAUCACUCAGGAGAAGAUGAGUGAAUAUAGGAUGCAAUUAGCGUGUCAGCUAUGGGCAAA